rnacentral:rRNA from 1 species
AUUGAACGCUGGCGGAAUGCUUUACACAUGCAAGUCGAACGGUAGAGGGGGCAACCCCUCGAGAGUGGCGAACGGGUGAGUAAUAUAUCGGAACGUGCCCAGUCGUGGGGGAUAACGUAGCGAAAGUUACGCUAAUAUCGCAUACGAUCUAAGGAUGAAAGCGGGGGAUCGCAAGACCUCGCGCGAUUGGAGCGGCCGAUAUCAGAUUAGGUAGUUGGUGGGGUAAAGGCUCACCAAGCCAACGAUCUGUAGCUGGUCUGAGAGGACGACCAGCCACACUGGAACUGAGACACGGUCCAGACUCCUACGGGAGGCAGCAGUGGGGAAUUUUGGACAAUGGAUGCAAGUCUGAUCCAGCCAUUCCGCGUGCAGGAUGAAGGCCCUCGGGUUGUAAACUGCUUUUGUACGGAACGAAAAGGUCUCUCUUAAUACGGGGGACUCAUGACGGUACCGUAAGAAUAAGCACCGGCUAACUACGUGCCAGCCGCCGCCGUAA